rnacentral:rRNA from 1 species
GAUGAACGCUAGCUACAGGCUUAACACAUGCAAGUCGAGGGGUAACGAGAGGGAAGCUUGCUUUCCUUGUCGACGACCGGCGCACGGGUGAGUAACGCGUAUCCAACCUGCCCCCAACUAAGGAAUAACCUUGCGAAAGUAAGACUAAUACCUUAUAAUUUCCUCAGAUGACAUCUGACGAGGAAUAAAGAUUUAUCGGUUGUGGAUGGGGAUGCGUCUGAUUAGCUUGUUGGCGGGGUAACGGCCCACCAAGGCAACGAUCAGUAGGGGUUCUGAGAGGAAGGUCCCCCACAUUGGAACUGAGACACGGUCCAAACUCCUACGGGAGGCAGCAGUGAGGAAUAUUGGUCAAUGGGCGGAAGCCUGAACCAGCCAAGUAGCGUGCAGGAUGACGGCCCUAUGGGUUGUAAACUGCUUUUAUACAGGAAUAAAGUUAGCCACGUGUGGUUAUUUGUAGGUACUGUAUGAAUAAGGACCGGCUAAUUCCGUGCCAGCCGCCGCGGUAA